GGCGACUUGGUGUAGAGGUUAUCACGCAAGCUUUACACGCUUGAAAUCAUGGGUUCGACCCCCAUAGUUGUCA
rfam:Protomyces lactucaedebilis strain 12-1054 BCR37scaffold_3, whole genome shotgun sequence.